rnacentral:rRNA from 1 species
AUUGAACGCUGGCGGCAGGCCUAACACAUGCAAGUCGAGCGGAUGACGGGAGCUUGCUCCUUGAUUCAGCGGCGGACGGGUGAGUAAUGCCUAGGAAUCUGCCUGGUAGUGGGGGACAACGUUUCGAAAGGAACGCUAAUACCGCAUACGUCCUACGGGAGAAAGCAGGGGACCUUCGGGCCUUGCGCUAUCAGAUGAGCCUAGGUCGGAUUAGCUAGUUGGUGGGGUAAUGACUCACCAAGGCGACGAUCCGUAACUGGUCUGAGAGGAUGAUCGGUCACACUGGGGCUGAGACACGGUCCAGACUCCUACGGGAGGCAGCAGUGGGGAAUAUUGGACAAUGGGCGGAAGCCUGAUCCAGCCAUGCCGCGUGUGUGAAGAAGGUCUUCGGAUUGUAAAGCACUUUAAGUUGGGAGGAAGGGCAGUAAGUUAAUACCUUGCUGUUUUGACGUUACCGACAGAAUAAGCACCGGCUAACUCUGUGCCAGCCGCCGCCGUAA